rnacentral:rRNA from 1 species
CAGAGGGUGCGAGCGUUGUCCGGAAUCACUGGGCGUAAAGGGCGCGUAGGCGGCUCUGCAAGCGUGCGGUGAAAGCUCGGGGCUUAACUCCGAGUCUGCCGUGCGAACUGUGAGGCUUGAGUCUGGUAGAGGUCGAUGGAAUUCCGGGUGUAGCGGUGGAAUGCGUAGAGAUCCGGAAGAACACCGGUGGCGAAGGCGGUCGACUGGGCCAGUACUGACGCUGAGGCGCGACAGCGUGGGGAGCAAACAGGAUUAGAUACCCUGGUAGUCCACGCCGUAAACGAUGGGCACUAGGUCCUUGGGGGAGCGACCCCUUGAGGGCCGGCGCUAACGCAUUAAGUGCCCCGCCUGGGGAGUACGGCCGCAAGGCUG